UACAGGGUGGCAAGCGUUGUUCGGAAUUACUGGGCGUAAAGGGUGCGCAGGCGGUCCGUGCAAGUCAGGCGUGAAAUCCCCGGGCUUAACCUGGGAAUGGCACUUGAAACUACGGGACUGGAGUAUGGCAGGAGGGAGGUGGAAUUCCACGUGUAGCGGUGAAAUGCGUAGAUAUCGGAGGAAUACCGGUGGCGAAGGCGGCAUCCGUGGACCGACAUUGACGCUGAGGAGCGAAAGCUAGGGGAGCAAACGGGG
rnacentral:rRNA from 1 species